GGUUAAACCCCAUCAUGUCGCGGUAGCCAUCUGAAAACUGCAGACCGAAAACCAAGUCAUUGGUCGAAACUGCCUGUGUGUCGACUGUCCACUCGGCGACUUUGCCAGAGAAGACCACCGCAUUUCCAGAGGCUGGGUUUAUGAUUGAGUCCACUGAACGUUAAGAUCGAGAAGGAAUUCUGCAGGAUCACACUGAAGCUAUUGCAGUCCACAUUCCUGGGCAAGUUGGACCAACACACACCCAAGCUGUUGCCUGUACAGGAGGAAGGGUGGAGCCGUUGGGAAGAAACUUGAUGAGACCCUUUGACAUGUUAAAUGAGGCAUGUAUUUACAACAGUGUGGUA